rnacentral:rRNA from 1 species
AUUAAACGCUGGCGGCAUGCCUUACACAUGCAAGUCGAACGGCAGCACGGGGGCAACCCUGGUGGCGAGUGGCGGACGGGUGAGUAACACAUCGGAACGUGCCCUGGAGUGGGGGAUAACGCAGCGAAAGCUACGCUAAUACCGCAUAUUCUGUGAGCAGGAAAGCAGGGGAUCGCAAGACCUUGCGCUUUGGGAGCGGCCGAUGUCGGAUUAGCUAGUUGGUGGGGUAAAGGCUUACCAAGGCGACGAUCCGUAGCGGGUCUGAGAGGAUGAUCCGCCACACUGGGACUGAGACACGGCCCAGACUCCUACGGGAGGCAGCAGUGGGGAAUUUUGGACAAUGGGCGGAAGCCUGAUCCAGCCAUGCCGCGUGAGUGAAGAAGGCCUCGGUUGUAAGA